AGAGCGGGAGCAACAAAAAAAUGGGUCUGAAAGCCCAGCUCCCAACACUCCCACCGGCUGGAGGAAACGCCAACAAACUCCCAUACAGGAGAAAAGUGAGGAGCAGUGUCAGUUGGAGGAAGUUCUAAGGACGCCAGAAUCCAUGCCGAGGCCGGACGCCACUCUGCCUCGAAACCGCAGGAGGAUGGCUGACACCCAAGGUCCUCUCUCUCGGAAAAUGAAGUGGUGACCCUGUUGACCGACGUCCUGUAUAUGACGCCGUUCAAUUACAGAAUCACUGGGGAAUAAAUGAAUGAAUAGGUUGUUAGACUGACUGUUUGUUUUUUUUUCUUUACUAGUUUAAUGGUAAAAAAUUAUU